CUGGAGAUGCAAUAGUCCCUGGUACCUGUACUACAGAAGAGGCAGUUUGUGGAACAGCAGGGAAAUGUAAAUCUGCAUGUGAACCAAAGCAGGAGGCUACAACGACAGCUGCGUCAGAAAAUGCUGACAACGGAAGUGUUAAACUCGGAUUAUCUACACUUGUAUUGGCAUUUGGUGUCCUAACAAGGAUGUUUCUACAAUACUGAUUGUUGACUGUGAAUACAAGUUUGUCAUCCU